rnacentral:rRNA from 1 species
UGGGGAAUUUUGGACAAUGGGCGAAAGCCUGAUCCAGCAAUGCCGCGUGUGUGAAGAAGGCCUUCGGGUUGUAAAGCACUUUUGUCCGGAAAGAAAUCCUUGGCUCUAAUACAGUCGGGGGAUGACGGUACCGGAAGAAUAAGCACCGGCUAACUACGUGCCAGCAGCCGCGGUAAUACGUAGGGUGCAAGCGUUAAUCGGAAUUACUGGGCGUAAAGCGUGCGCAGGCGGUUUGCUAAGACCGAUGUGAAAUCCCCGGGCUCAACCUGGGAACUGCAUUGGUGACUGGCAGGCUAGAGUAUGGCAGAGGGGGGUAGAAUUCCACGUGUAGCAGUGAAAUGCGUAGAGAUGUGGAGGAAUACCGAUGGCGAAGGCAGCCCCCUGGGCCAAUACUGACGCUCAUGCACGAAAGCGUGGGGAGCAAACAGGAUUAGAUACCCUGGUAGUCCACGCCCUAAACGAUGUCAACUAGUUGUUGGGGAUUCAUUUCCUUAGUAACGUGAGACUAACGCGUGAAGUUGACCGCCUGGGGAGUACGGUCGCAAGAUUAAAGCUUAAAUGAAUUG